AGAGUUUGAUCCUAGCUCAGAACGAACGCUGGCGGCGUGCUUAAUACAUGCAAGUCGUGCGAGAAAUCCCGGGCUUGCUCGGGAGAGUAAAGCGGCGAACGGGUGCGUAACACGUGGGCAACCUGCCCUCGGGUUGGGGAUAAGCCUUCGAAAGGAGGUCUAAUACCGAAUAACGUCACAUCAGGGCAUCCUGGAGUGAUCAAAGAUGGCUUCGGCUAUCUCCUGAGGAUGGGCCCGCGCUCCAUUAGCUUGUUGGUGAGGUAACGGCUCACCAAGGCAUCGAUGGAUAGCCGGCCUGAGAGGGUGACCGGCCACACUGGGACUGAGAUACGGCCCAGACUCCUACGGGAGGCAGCAGUAGGGAAUAUUGCGCAAUGCCCGAAAGGGUGACGCAGCAACGCCGCGUGUGGGAUGAAGCUUCUUGGAGCGUAAACCACUGUCAGUAGGGACGAAAUGCUGUAGCUCUAAUAUAGCUACGGCUUGACGGUACCUGCAGAGGAAGCUCCUGCCAACUCCGUGCCAGCAGCCGCGGUAAUACGGGGAGCAAGCGUUGUUCGGAAUCACUGGGCGUAAAGGGUACGCAGGCGGGAAGGCAGGUCAGAUGUGAAAACCCAUGGCUUAACCAUGGGCCUGCAUCUGAUACCACCUUUCUUGAGUAUCGGAGAGGAAAGCGGAACUCCUGGUGUAGCGGUGAAAUGCGUAGAUAUCAGGAGGAACACCGGUGGCGAAGGCGGCUUUCUGGCCGAAUACUGACGCUCAUGUACGAAGGCCGGGGGAGCAAACAGGAUUAGAUACCCUGGUAGUCCCGGCGGUAAACGAUGGGUACUAGGUGUUGGAGGAAUCGACCCCUUCAGUGCCGCAGCUAACGCACUAAGUACCCCGCCUGGGGAGUACGGCCGCAAGGCUGAAACUCAAAGGAAUUGACGGGGCCCCGCACAAGCAGUGGAGCACGUGGUUUAAUUCGACGCAACGCGAAGAACCUUACCUGGGUUUGAAAUGUUCAGGAAAGCUUCAGAGAUGAAGCCCCUCCGCAAGGAGUCUGUUCACAGGUGCUGCAUGGCUGUCGUCAGCUCGUGCCGUGAGGUGUUGGGUUAAGUCCCGCAACGAGCGCAACCCCUGCCCUUAGUUACCAGCGGUUCGGCCGGGAACUCUAGGGGGACUGCCGGUGACAAGCCGGAGGAAGGUGGGGAUGACGUCAAGUCCUCAUGGCCCUUACGUCCAGGGCUACACACGUGCUACAAUGACCGGUACAGAGGGUCGCAAGACCGCAAGGUGGAGCUAAUCCCUAAAACCGGCCUAAGUUCGGAUUGGAGUCUGCAACUCGACUCCAUGAAGUCGGAAUUGCUAGUAAUCGCGAAUCAGCAGGUCGCGGUGAAUACGUUCCCGGGGCUUGUACACACCGCCCGUCAAGCCAUGGAAGCCGGGGGUACCCGAAAUCGCUUUGUUAACCGCAAGGAUGCAAGCGCCUAAGGUAAAAUCGGUGACUGGGGCUAAGUCGGAACAAGGUA
rnacentral:rRNA from 1 species